rnacentral:lncRNA from 1 species
UGCGUUUACUGUUUAUUUUUAAGUUUGCUUUGCUAAAUUUAUCAAGUGGUCCUUUUGUUUAGAAAAUCCACGUGACCUGACGCCCCGCCUCCUGUGCGCUCACGUGACCUCCGUGCGCCUGGUAACAGCGAAAGCGUCUCUCGUGGAGAAGAUGAACUCGAGGAGUCGCGGAAGAUUUACCGAAACGGAUCACGAUGCGCGAUAAAUCCUUAGUUCACGUACUUUCAACAAGCUCCGCCAUAACACGCACACAUGCGAGCCCUUCACAGUCACACUGACAGCGAUAUCCGGCUAAGCGUCUUAAGGCUUGGGACGAUUUAUUGCAGGUGAUGGAGAUAUUGGUUUGGCCAAAUAUUGCCAUAUUGCAUCUUACUUGUUACCUAAGGCGAUGAGGCACUAAUGCACUUAAUAGGAUUCAGGUCGCCCUCCCUGUCUUCCUGGAGCUCUCACAAGCAAGCUGUGUCCAUACAUAACUGAACCCGAUACAUAACUGAUUACCAGCUUAUGCUAGAGACACACAACAUCAGCAUCUGUUCUUGGCAGAUCCCAAAAGAGUUUGAAGAUGGCCUGUGCUGUGGAGAGAUGAGUGAGACCUCCUGAUAUCAGGUGAUUAGACGCGCGUACAGGCAUGGGGAAACUACAGAGCAAGUUUCGGCGGCGCUCGGACCUUUACAAGGCCAAAGAGGGGGCGGAGCUUGCACCUGUGCACCAGGUAGUGCAGUAUGAAGCCGCUCACACGGAUGCCGUCAACUGUGUCGUCAGCCUGACCUCUGACCUGUGUGUGUCAGGAGGGCAUGACCAGGCUGUUGUUGUCUGUGACUGGAGAGCUGGAAAACAGUGCAAAUCAUUCCAGGGCCACAGCAGAGAGAUUACAAAGGUAAAGGCAAAGCUUGGAUUUAUUUUGGAACGAUUUUCAUUAGUGGAGAAAAAAAUGAAUA